CUUUCUCUGUCUCUUUCUCUCUCCCCCUGUCUAUGUCUCAAAAAAGUAUCUAAUUCAUGACACUUUAUAUGACACUAUAUGUAUUUAUUAACUUACAGUUUUCAUCUCUGUUUACACUGAUUCUACUGAAAGAAAAGUCCAAUACGUGUCCUAAAUGUAGAGUUGGAGAGAUGCCGUUUACAUGUAACAGAUGACCUGUAUAAAUCACCUGCAUGAUGCACACGUACAGCAGACCAGAGGCCAGAAAAAGCUUUAAGCAGAAGUACUGUAAAAAAAACAAAGAUGCCGCAGAUUACGUCUGGGCCUAGUCACAACGUGUCUUUCACAAUGAGCCCCAAAUCUGAGCUUCUAUAAAAGUGCUCUCAGAUCCUCGGAUGAAUGAAGGGCAGAAAUUUAAGAUGAUACAUUUAAAAAAAAUCAAAAAAAUCAGGACCUUUAAAUUAAUCAAUACUUCGCACAAAAUGUGAAAUCGGGAAUGUAUCCCUUAUUUACACGUGCUAUUUCAGCCAAUUACUAUUUUUUAUUUUAUUUUUGGGGGAUUUAUAUAAAACUAUAAUUAGAUAUUUAACACAGUACUUAAUCAUAUGAUCAUUAAAACAUGUCAAGACAGGGUUGAUGUGCUGUCCCAACUGUCUUAUCCCACAGGGCAUUAAAGCAUGUCAAGACAGGGUUGAUGUGCAGUCCCAACUGUCUUAUCCCACAGGGCAUUAAAGCAUGUCAAGACAGGGUUGAUGUGCUGUCCCAACUGUCUUAUCCCACAGGGCAUUAAAGCAUGUCAAGACAGGGUUGAUGUGCAGUCCCAACUGUCUUAUCCCACAGGGCAUUAAAGCAUGUCAAGACAGGGUUGAUGUGCUGUCCCAACUGUCUUAUCCCACAGGGCAUUAAAACAUGCAGUUAAAUGAACUCAACUUCUUUGUGACAUGAACAUAAUAAUGCUUAGUUAUUACAAUGGCAGAUUAUUAAUUAAUGAACGUCAAAUGAAAACCAUUGAAGGACCACAGCAGUAAUCAGUCAAAACCCGGCCAGUCGUCCUUUAGCCUUCCUGCUACAAACCCCUGUUGAGGAAGGCACUGUGGAUGGUUGUGAAUAUCCCUUAUAGGCAACUGUACCCACUGGUUUUGACUGACAGCUGGGUGACACCAUCUUGCAUCUUAAAACACAACUCUUUGAGAUCAUGGUCUUGACAGAGGGAAUUUGUGGUUGCUGUGCAAAGCAACAUUUCUUUGUCCUCUCCCCUCCACACAAGACAGUCCAGUGUCUGUGAAGAGUCUGUGUGUUUCAAGACAGUCCAGUGUCUGUGUGUAUCAAGACAUCUGUGUGUAUCAAGACAGUCCAGUGUCUGUGUGUAUCAAGACAGUCCAGUGUCUGUGUGUAUCAAGACAGUCCAGUGUCUGUGAUGAGUCUGUGUGUAUCUUCUUCUGAUACCAGAAAUUCAGAAAGACGUUUCCUGACCAGGUUGUGUCUUCAUUUUCAGCUCAUUGCCUUACGUAAAACUUGAGUUAUUUUGGUGUUUACCCUUUAAAGUCUUGUUGUUUCUCUCUCUCUGGUCUUAAUGUCCAUGGCACCUCUCUCUCUCUCUGGUCUUAAUGUCCAUGGCACCUCUCUCUCUCUCUGGUCUUAAUGUCCAUGGACCCUCUCUCUCUCUCUCUCUCUCUCUCUCUGGUCUUAAUGUCCAUGGCACCUCUCUCUCUCUCUGGUCUUAAUGUCCAUGGCACCUCUCUCU
ensembl:lncRNA